rnacentral:tRNA from 1 species
GGAGGGGUCGCAUAGUGGCCUAGUGCGGCGGUCUUGAAACCGCUAGGUACGCAAGUGCCUCGCGAGUUCGAAUCUCGCCCCCUCCGCCA